UCAAACCAUGCGAAUAUCACUCACUUUUUUUCGUCGAUACCGUUUUGGUGACCCCAAAAGUACUCGAUCCAAGUAUCGUGUUUAUGGCCAGCUACUCAAAUUCUUCAUUGCAUGGAAUGGCAUAGGUUACCUUUUAUUCAGAUUCAUGAAAAAGAGAGGCAGGGAAAUCGAUCCGGAUUUCGACUCUAAAUCCUCAGGUAUGCAGAUUGCUAGUUUGAUGGGCCACAGGGAAAUGGCGGUCAAGUACACAGUUAGAUAUGACAAGGAAAAGGGUUUCCAUGUUGACAAAUCAGAGGAAAAUGUGAAGCCAACGGAUGAUGCAACUUCUGUAGAGUCUUGAAACCAGGCAAGGAUAUUUAAUGUGUUCAAAGGAUAGCCAUGCUUUUACCCUUACAUUUGAAAACCAGAAGAUACCAGGUCUACACUGUGAUAUGUGACUAAAUGAGUUUGACAUUUGCAGAUGAUAGUGAUAUCCGCCAAAAAAGGAUGAUUAAUUGGAAUUGUGGUUAUAAAUUUGUCAAUGACUUUUCUAUGAAUUAAAUGAUUGUUGUCAUU